rnacentral:rRNA from 1 species
GUCCACGCAGUAAACGAUGUUCACUAGGUGUCGGUCUCGUUUAAUUCGAGGUCGGUGCCGGAGCUAACGCAUUAAGUGAACCACCUGGGGAGUACAGUCGCAAGGCUGAAACUCAAAGGAAUUGACGGGGACCCGCACAAACGGUGGAGCAUGUGGUUUAAUACGACGAUACGCGUGGAACCUCACCCAGGCUUGACAUGCACGGGAAAGCCUUAUGAAAGUAGGGCCCUCCCUCAAGGACUCGUGCACAGGUGUUGCAUGGCUGUCGU